CGCGCAGGCGGUCGUUCAAGUCGCGUGUGAAAGCCCCCGGCUCAACUGGGGAGGGUCACGCGAUACUGAUCGACUCGAAGGCAGGAGAGGGUAGUGGAAUUCCCGGUGUAGUGGUGAAAUGCGUAGAUAUCGGGAGGAACACCAGUGGCGAAGGCGACUAACCUGGCCUGUUCUUGACGCUGAGGCGCGAAAGCUAGGGGAGCAAACG
rnacentral:rRNA from 1 species